CUGGUUGAUCCUGCCGGAGGUCAUUGCUAUCGGAGUCCGAUUUAGCCAUGCUAGUUGGACGAAUUCAUAUUCGUAGCAGAUAGCUCAGUAACACGUGGCCAAACUACCCUAUAGACCANAAUAACCUCGGGAAACUGAGGGUAGUGGUGGAUACUCCUCUACUCCUGGAAUGGAUCGAGGGACAAAUGCUCCGGCGCUAUAGGAUGGGGCUGCGGCCGAUUAGGUAGACGGUGGGGUAACGGCCCACCGUGCCAAUAAUCGGUACGGGUUGGGAGAGCAAGAGCCCGGAGACGGAAUCUGAGACAAGAUUCCGGGGCCUACGGGGCGCAGCAGGCGCGAAAACUUUACACUGGACGACAGUGCGAUAAGGGGACUCCNNAGUGGGUGGGCAUAGUGCCCUNCGCUUUUGGUGAGCCGUAGGGAGGGACACGAAUAAGAGCUGGGCAAGAGCGGUGGCACCCGGCCGCGUAACACCGGCAGCUCGAGUGANAGCCGGAUAUUAGUGGGGCCUANAGCGUCCGUAGCCGGCAAGGGAAAGUCUGGUNGGG
rnacentral:rRNA from 1 species